UACGUAGGGUGCAAGCGUUGUCCGGAAUUAUUGGGCGUAAAGAGCUCGUAGGCGGUUUGUCGCGUCUGCUGUGAAAAUCCAGGGCUUAACCCUGGACCUGCAGUGGGUACGGGCAGACUGGAGUGCGGUAGGGGAGAUCGGAAUUCCUGGUGUAGCGGUGAAAUGCGCAGAUAUCAGGAGGAACACCGGUGGCGAAGGCGGAUCUCUAGGCCGUAACUGACGCUGAGGAGCGAAAGCAUGGGGAGCGAACAGG
rnacentral:rRNA from 1 species